UAACUUCAGAAGGAACACAGACUGCCUAGUGCUGAGUCUCACUGUUACUGCAUGUGCCAGCCGGUGUGCCACAUUCUUGUCGGAGAUGAACUGUGGGGCCAAAGGUCACUCCUCAUGGUCUCUCGAGCUGAGGACCAAACCCAAGGCCUUGCACUUGCUAGACAAGUGCUCUACCUCUGAGCUAAAUCCCCAACUGCAAGGGUCGUACACAGAUUGAGAACUGCUGGCCGGCCUAAGAGAACCAAGACGGCACCAUGGACUCAGGUCCUCAGUGAGUAGAGUGUGUGUGUGCCUGUGAGAAUGGCCUGUGUGGUGUAGUAUUCUUGUGCGAGACUGCCUCCAUUGUCUUCACCCUCAAGACACAGGUGAGGCAGGCUAGAGGUAUGCACGUGAGGUGGAAAAGGCUGGGGCAGCUGGAAUGGACAGGAACUGACGGAGGCCCGCAGCUGUAUGAUGGUUAGAACUUCUGGCACACAGGUAUGAUGGAGCGAGACCUG